CACCUUGCAACAAUCAAGCGAAGCGCUUAUCUUGGUCACGCCGGGAAACCGGCUAUGUCGGUAGAGUAUUUGGCGGAAUAGGCACUUCGGACCCGGGGGGCAGUACCCCGGCGCCUCCACCACCAGCGGCGAACGGAUUUAGCGCAGAAAUCCGCCGUUGCUGAUGGGGGCGAAACAGGAUCGACGGGUGCAAUAAAGACCAGGUUGCCGAUCGGUAUGAGACCACCGCAAAGGCUCGUUCACACAAGUGCCAACGAUAAUCAGGCUCUUGCGAUUGCCGCGUAACUGACGGCCUAACGGUCAUAAGUUACUAGGACAAAAGCGCGGUUGGACCCCGCCGGGCAACAGAAGGGGAUUCCAGCGGUACGGAGGGCACCGGGCAACAGAAGCCCUCCACC
rnacentral:tmRNA from 1 species